rnacentral:rRNA from 1 species
AAGUUAAUUUUAGAUGCAAGUAACAUCUUUUUUAAAAUAAUUUAUAUUAAAUACAUAAUAAGGAAUAAAAUCAGUUUUAUUAGUGAAUAUAUGUUUAGUAUUAAUUAAAUUAAGUUAUGCUUAAUUUAGUAAUAAGAAUAUUAAAGUAAAAUCUAAUAAGGAGGGGUUUUAUUCUGUAAAUAUGUUAUAUACAUGUAUAAAUUAUAAUAAAAUAAGGAGAUAGGUACGCAGAUAAACCAAUUAUGAAAAAAUGAAUAAGUAUCUAGAAUUAGACCCGAAGGCUAGUGAUCUUACCAUGGUCAGGGUUAUAAAAGCCCGAACGGGUUAUCGUUGUAAAGAUAUCCGAUGAACUGUGGUAAGUUAGUGAAAGACAAAACUGACUAGUAUA